GAAUGCGUUCCCGGGUCUUGUACACACCGCCCGUCACACCACGGGAGUUGGAGACGCCCGAAGCCGAUUAUCUAACCUUUUGGAAGAAGUCGUCGAAGGGGGAAUCAAUAACUGGGGUGAAGUCGUAACAAGGUAGCCGUAUCGGAAGGUGCGGCUGGAUCACCUCCUUUCUAAGGAGA
rnacentral:rRNA from 1 species